CAUAUAUAUAAGUGCCUGUGUUGAUACUGACAAGAGCAUUUUACGUGGCAGUAGCUCUCAUCGAAUUCCGCAGACGGACAACCAUGAAGCGGAGACUGCUUGUUUACAGUUUCCUUGUGCUUGGGCUCCUUAUCAGUAGAACUUCAGGCGCUUCUGAGUGUUCCACAGAGUGCCCAAGUGGACAACAGUUUUCCUGCUUCAGUUUCGAGAGAACUUGCUCGUGUACUUGCUUGGAAACCUCCAACUCCUGCGAAUAUCUUAAGGGCAACACUUGUCCCGAAGGCUAUUUCCGCAGGUGCGUCAGUGACUCUCACGGAUGUACUUGCAGAUGCGAUCUAUAAUAAGUACAUUGGUCCAGAUGUCCGGCGGCCGUCUACAUGGUGUCGAUGCUUGAUGAGACAAGACUCUUCGACGACCUAACUUAGCAGAGAAACAAUGAAAAUAAAUCGUGCAUUGUUGUCCGUUC